UUGAAGGCCGUCUGUUCACCGGUUCGUAUGAUGGCGCGUAAAGUUUGGGACAUUACUGGAAUCAACGAUGACACUGCUUUUGGAAAGGACGAUGACGAAAAGAAGAAAACUAAAGAAAAUACUGAGAAGGAUCAAAUUACUAAAAUGGAUCAGAAUCAGAACGGAAUCAGUAACGGUCAAAGCAAUAAGAUAAUGAUAGAAUAGACGGGAACCAGCCCAAUAUUGAUACUGGGAUCCUGCAAUGAUGUAACGUGAAAUUUCAUUGUUUUUUUUAGUAACAUGUGAUAGAAUAGACAUUAACCAGUCUGGUAUUGAUGCCGGGAUCCAGUAAUGAUGAAAAUGGAAAUUUUAUUGGCUGCUUCUUUAUUUAGUCACGUGUAUUUUUCAUUUUUGUUUACAAAGCAAAGAUUGGCGUAUUUUUUUUUAUAUGAAAGGCGAUGGUUUUGGUUUUUGUAUUGACUUGAGAUUGAAAGUGAAGUUGUUUUUUGUCAUUUAGAUUUUUUUCACUUGGUUUUAAGUGUUUUAUCCUUGUGAUGCAGGUGUGCCAGGAAAUGAGAGAUUUUCGACUGAAAAUGAUGAUGUAUUAUCAAAUACGAUUAUACAUGUAUUUAGUACUUAAAUUGUAAACUGCAUUUGAAAAUUAAAUUACAUUAAUUGUCACUUUGUAAACAUAUUAUUUAAAAGUACAUAUUUAGUUUGCGUAUCAGCUACAAAUUGUAUUUUUUAUAUAUUUUUGUAUUUUAAGUACUGAAAAUAGUUGAACAUCAGAUGUGCACGAAUGUUUGUCAUUAAGCAAUUUUAUAUUUACCAAUGGCCGUUUAAUCAAUUAACCGGGUUUUUAUUGUUGUUUAUUGUUGUUUGUUUUUGUUGUUGUUUUUCAAUAUCGAUUUCUUUUCAAGAGCGAAAAUUUAAUGCAAUGCCUCGAUCUUUUUUAAAGAAAUAUAUAUAUGUAGCCAAUAUGGAAAUCAACAAAGCAAAUCAAAAGUCAAAUGUUAUGAUUUAUAUUUAAUUUAGAACAUAUAAAGAAUGCAAAAUUUGUACUUAUUUGAUUAUAAAAGGGAUACCGGAAUAUUGUUCCCAUCCUGUUUGUUUUGGUUUUUUUUUUUAUUUCAUAGGCUCUGAAUUUCUGUGAAUUUCUGUAACAUUUUUGAACAAUUUUGAUAUAAAUGUAUUUUUAAUGUAAUUAUUGGUCAACAACAAAAAAUUUGUUUGGAGCGAAACAGUACUGGUACGAAAGAUAAUGAAUGUUUGAUGAGAGUGAAAUUUCUGCAAUUUAUUGUGUUUGUCUUAUUCGAGAAAUGUCGCGUCUGCACUUUUUAAAGAGCAUCUCUGCACAUAAAUUUCGAUACAUUUUUGUGCGUUAUAAAUGCGGGUUUCAUUAUAAUAUUUUUCCAUUAUAUUUCCAUACUACAUAUUAACCACUUCAUUUCUUUCAUUUUGGUAUAGUACGUAUUACAUGUAUAUAUAUUUUUCAGUUUAGUUAUUGUCAAUUUAUUACAUAUUGUACAUGUUAUGUAAGAAAGUGAGCACGUGUUUGUAUCAUGAAAAGUUUAUUAUUAUCAUUAUCAUCAGUCAUCGCAUUUCUUGGGUCGAAAUUGUCAGGUGACGAAUCAUUAUACAACAUCGUCAUUUUGAAAUCAUUAUAAUGGCGCCUAAUACAUGUUGUUUUACAUUACACAGUAGCAUAUUCACGUGUACAACUGAAAUAUCUCAUUUUGUGGGCCUCAGCAUAUUUUAUAUUUACAUGUAGUUUAUUUAAAUAUAGUACUUAAUAUCACAAUGUGUGUAUCAAAUAUUACUUGUCAUAACAAAAUUACUAAAACGUUUUCAUUUGGUGAAACGCAUCAACAUUCUGUGCUCGCAAGAACUGUUACAAAUUGAAUUAAUAAGAUUUCAAUAAAUUAUUAAGUUAUCGGAUGUAAUAUGACGUGCUUGUGAUCGCAAUGAAUCAUACACAUUUAGUUUAACCUAGCAAUAAAUGAUACAGUGGUUUACACAUUGCGCACUGCGGAUGAUCACGUGACCAAAGUCGUACAGUGGGCUCAUAAAAUGGCGUCCUAAUGAUGGCAUUGCUAAUUUUGCUCAAAAUUAGUUUCUUUUACUGAAAACAACGUAUUUUAGUACUGUUCGGCCAUUGUACUCAUCACCCAAACAACUUUUUGACUUUCAGGCCUAAACAGAGAGAGCUACAAAGUAACCAAUAACAGAACAGUACGUGGUUUUUAUACAGGGGUUCCGUGCGGCCUUGUUUUACAUAUAAAAUUAACGUUAAAUGUAUGCUUACCUCAAUUUCACUGCUUUUACCGAGCGUUUAGGCCGCCAUUUUAAGAGCCCAUUGUACGAUUUUGGUCACGUGAUCAUCCGCAGUGAUUGCGGUUUCAUCAUUGCUCUUAAAAGUAAAAUCUUUGAUUGUCGCCAAAUCGUCAUAGACAGCAGUUUUUGCGAUUUUUUAAUCAUAUGAAUAGUACCCUUAGAAGAAUUUGCUCUGUACUGCAUAAAACCAUGACAGUCUUAAAAUUAAUAUCUCCUUUUUUCGAUAGAGAAAGGGAAACUUUUAUAAUCAGUUAGUCUCGUUUGCAAAGGCUUCAAUUUUGGACUUAAGAUUUAUUACAUGUAUAUUUUUUAAUCAAAAUUUAAUACAUUCUGUUCACCAAUCCAUAUGGAGAACCGUUUUAAAAGUAAUUUGCCAAGACUAUAAAGUGUUGGUGCAAUACACUAAAUACGAUAUUGUGGUAUUUGUACCUUUGUCAGAGUUAAAUAGUAUGCACAAUACGUAACUGUAGUGCAGGUAUUAGUUACCCGCACUCCAGAUCAUGCCCAUUGAUUGGCUCAUUUUUCUGGGGUUUACAACAGAGAAAGGGAUAGCGAUAGAAAUAUCAUAUCCAGAUGCUCUUUCAUUGGUUACCUUUUUUCUUGGGUUUUAUUUUGUGACAAAAGGGAACGGGUUUUUAUUUUUGCCUAUGAUACAAAAGAGAAAGAACAUCAAUGUGAUUUAUAUUUGGAUCGUACAAAUCAGUUAGCCUCUUGUUUCGAUGCUCUUUCGCUAUUACAUACCGGACAAUGCGCUUGAAUGUUUAAAUGAUAUGAUAAAUUUCGCCUUUUCACCGCUGAGGUUGCAAAUCAUUGUACAAUGCAUGUUAAAUAUGUUGAUAAAAUGUGACUAACCGCACCUUAAUUAUAUCUAUGUUAUAAUUUGUGUUGAACUUUUUAUCAUAAUUGUGAAAAAAUGUCAAUUCAUGUUAGAACUUAUUGUUUUUAUGAUGUUGUCCAAAUUGUUAUAACUUUUUAUGUGAAUGUCUCGGUCAAGACUUGGCCAAACUGUUUGUUUCAGAUUUAGUACAAAAAUAAAUGUGUGCUAUUUUAGAUUUAAGUAACACAUUUAAGUGCCAAUAAAUUAAGAAAAAAAACAACAACAAAAUUUGACAAUAAAGUAUACAUUUUUUUCUCUUGAAAUUUGACAAACCUGUCAAUAUUUAACAGACUAUAGUCUUGUUAGGGAUAGGAAAGUAUAUAACCUUUGAUGACAUGCAAACUUUCAAAGCAAGUAUUUCUUUAGAUUGUAAAAUCUCCAGGACUGUUGCUGGCCUUUAAAUAUUACAAGCAAAAAUAAUAGAUGAUCUUGUCUGUGAUCUGCCAUUUUGGAAUUCCCAGUAAUGACGUCACAGUGGAAAACAGCCUCUUCUGGGCACAAAUGUUAUAAAAAUAGGUAAACUGUAGAAAGAAGGCAUGGCUAGCUUCCAGUUUACAACGGAAAUGUUCAAAAUUUGUCAAUAUUUACUGCUUCGUUAGGGUUCGUAAUUCUUACCCUUUGUAAUUAUAGACAGAAUUUUAUCUCAUUGUCCAUGUACUUGGAUUGACAUGUUGGGAGAAUUGGAUGGUAAUGAAACCCGAAACAAACAGUUUGAGCCAUUGAAUAAUUAUGUGAGUUUACUGAAUAAUUGUACUAGCGGGUUCUAGUAUAAAGAUGGUGUAUAAUUUACUCAUCAUUAAUUUUCUUUGUGCUGUAGUCAACAUUUCAUUCUAUAUGUGUUAGUGAAAUAUUUCCUAGCUGGUAUCGGAAUAUUGGAUUGAAGAUAGAUUUAUCAGCAUACAGGUUAAGCAGCAUUUCUCUCUGAACCAAUAUUCUACGAGAAGCCAAUACCAAGGCAGUCAUCCUUUAUUUGAAACAAGAUCAAGUUAUUUAUUAAAUUAUUUCUUUGCAAAUGCUAUUGGUCCCAUUUCAGAAAUGUUGUCUUCAAAUCACCGACAACCAAUGGCCUUAAGAAUAUGAUAGUUUGAUCAUUCAACUAACCAAUAUUGAAAUUGUUGGCCUGAUGAUUCUGGAACCAAUACUUUACCUGAAGAAGGUAGAUUGUCUUAAUUAAAGCAACGCAGUUUAGCAAAAUUGGCUGAGGGGUUGUCCUUAAGGGUUGAGGCUUCGGAAUUGCAGCCACUGUUUAUCCCGAGUGAUCGUAUGAGGCAACUAAAUUAGUUUGAUUAACUGGAGUCUAUGCAUCUCUUAGAUCCAGCAGGUGAGGUUGUUUUAUGCACCAAUUGAUAGCUGAUAAUUAUAAAAUGUAUCUUUUGGUCUUGAAUUAAAAAUCAAAGAAGAAACCUUCAAGACCUGUGCUGUGUUUUUUAACAAGUAAUUAUAGUUUUGUAAAUACAUGUAGAAACAUUGUUGACGAAAUUUUAAUAAAGUAUUCUUAUUUAGCCUUAUACACCUUCAGUCUAUCUAAAUUAUCUUGAAUGCAUCAAAAUAUGUGGAGUUACCCCUAACAUUGCUAAAUUUAGAGAGAAAAAACUUGUCCAGUUUCCAUUUUUGGAGCUUUAGGGAUGACAAAAAAAAAAGAAAUUUGUGGGCCAUCAUUAUAGAUUCUGGUGACAUUGCCCCAAAUGUUCAAGCAAACCUUGCUCCGUAUUUGUGGCAAAGGUUAAUCAAUUUCUGUUCUGGAAAUGUUAGGGGUUGGGUCAAUGGAUUAAACUGCCCAUUCAGUUAUAUUUUUAUAAUUCUAUGUACCAUGUAAAGCUUAUUAAAUUUUUAAUAUCUUAUACAAUAGGUUA